UGAUACCACUUUGUUGGUGGUAUUCUAGAGGUGGUAUAUAUUAUAAACUAUAUUGUUGCAUAAUUUAGAGUAGGAUAGUAUUUUUGGGGCUGAAUAUUCAUGUAUUUUUCUUAUUUUAAAUGCAUCUCAUACACAUGAAUAUAUAUAGCAUGAGUAGUGAUGGUUACAACUAUCAAAGAGUCACCACUACUAGGUGCUUAAUCAAUGAUUAAACACUCCACUAAGCACUAAGUGCUUCCACUAAUAACAAUGACAAUUCACUCAUGUAACUCUUCACUUACACUAGAUAAUUUCCACUACCUUAUCAUGUUCCAC
rnacentral:lncRNA from 1 species